rnacentral:lncRNA from 1 species
AAAUAUCUAAAGCUGAGUAAAUGGAGACAGAUAAAAUAGAUUAGCAUAAAAAUGAUUCACAGCAUUUUGAACUCAUUUUAAUAAGAUAAAAUAGAUUCAUUUCACACAAAUAAACAACAAGGCUUAUGAUUUCUUGAAAAGCUUGGCUCGUGCCAAAAUCAUUCUCAUACUCGGUUGUCAGGGAUACCUUGGCCUGGAGCUAUCCCAACCG